AAUGUCCAACUGACAGUAGACAUGGGAUCAAGUGUCCAAGACCCCCCUUCAGAAACAACCACAAUUUGUUGCUUCUGUGAAUUCAGCACUGGCUAAGCACAGAAGCAUCUACCGUUCCCAGAGCACCUCCCAGGAAAAGACAGCAGAGAUCAGCAGCCUCAGGACAACUGGCUGGCACCCGGCUACACCGUCACCUGCCGCAAUGGCUGGGCACUGACAGAUGGAACCACCCAGAAGAUGUGGGUCAGAGAUCUGUAGCUGAGCCCUGCCACAGGGGCUCUUUUCUCCAGAAAGGUGACCAGAUGUGGCUAGGAGUCUGUCUGCCACAUGAUCUCUUCUUUCUCAGAACAGCACGGUGGGCUCAGGAGAAAACUCCCAACUCUUCAUAUCUGUUUCUGGAGAGACCUAGAAGAAUGGAUCAUAUUUUCAAAAUUUUGGCUUGUUGUGGAGAUAUCUGUUGUCUGGUUUUUUGUCACCCUGACAUGGAGUACUGAAGAAAAUGAGGGCGUGUUAUGGAUGACAGGUUUGUAUCUAUUGAGUAAAAAAAUUAAUUUUUUUUACAGCACCGGAAAAGCUUUAAUACCACAGACAGUAUACUAGAGAUCCAAAGAUUAUAGAAUCUAAAAAUGAAAUGAGACAAUCUUUAGAAGUCAGAAAAUAGAGCCAACAUAUCCUGACAUCAUUGUUGAGAAGCACCCAGAAUCUAUAGCCCGGUGAUUCAAUGUUAGCCUUUCCGUGUAAAAAGCUAGACUAUUAAUUACUGGAAUCAGUAGCUGAGUCUUACAUUUUCAUAUUCCAAUUGAAGAAACAAAUUUACAUAAAUUAACCUACCCUAAAGAAAUUAAGGUAUAUGCAUUAUUUGAAAAAAUUCAAAAUAAUUCUCUGAAACUUGCUCAAUAAGUGAAACAGAACAUAGACUUAAAGAAAUAGAAAAAUUACAUGAAGAAAUUCAGAAAACCAAUAUAAAGUAAAACUAUAAACAAUUCAGUAAAAUAGUAAAGCUGACGUACAAUAAUUGAAUUUUAAAAAAUUAACUAGAGGGGCCUAAUAGUCACAAACACGAAAAAGUUCAGAAAAUUAAAAAUGUGUCAUUUAUAAUUUUUGAGACAGGAAUACAAAAUUAUUAAAUAUAAAAAACAUAUAGACUAUGGGGCUUAUUGUACAUCAUUGAGCAGACCAAUAUCCUGAUGACAGAAUGCAUCAAUCUAUUUUUUAAAAAUAUUUUGGAUCCCUCAUCGGUUGAAUCCAGAGAGGCAGAAUUUACAGAUGUAGACUCAACAGUACAAGAUCUGGAAAAACUGUAGUUGAAAUAUAGGGGCAAAUAAAGACUUACCAAAAUAAGCAAAA